rnacentral:rRNA from 1 species
UACAGAGGGUGCAAGCGUUAAUCGGAGUUACUGGGCGUAAAGGGUGCGUAGGCGGUUGUUUAAGUUUGGUGUGAAAUCUCCCGGCUUAACCGGGAGGGUGCGGCGAAUACUGAGAUGCUGGAGUGCCGGAGAGGUAAGCGGAAUUCCUGGUGUAGCGGUGAAAUGCGUAGAUAUCAGGAGGAACACCUGCGGUGUAGACGGCUUACUGGACGGUAACUGACGCUGAGGCACGAAAGCGUGGGUAGCAAACAGG